UGUUUCGGCUAGGGGGUCAUCCCGACUUACCAACCCGAUGCAAACUACGAAUACCGAAGAAUGUUAUCACGGGAGACACACGGCGGGUGCUAACGUCCGUCGUGAAGAGGGAAACAACCCAGACCGCCAGCUAAGGUCCCAAAGUCAUGGUUAAGUGGGAAACGAUGUGGGAAGGCACAGACAGCCAGGAUGUUGGCUUAGAAGCAGCCAUCAUUUAAAGAAAGCGUAAUAGCUCACUGGUCGAGUCGGCCUGCGCGGAAGAUGUAACGGGGCUAAACCAUGCACCGAAGCUGCGGCAGCGACACUAUGUGUUGUUGGGUAGGGGAGCGUUCUGUAAGCCUGCGAAGGUGUGCUGUGAGGCAUGCUGG
rnacentral:rRNA from 1 species